UACGGAGGGUGCAAGCGUUAUCCGGAUUCACUGGGCGUAAAGGGCGCGUAGGUGGCGCUCCAAGUCCGUGGUGAAAGCUCGAUGCUCAACAUCGAGUCGGCCACGGAGACUGGAGGGCUCGAGCACUGUAGGGGCAGAUGGAAUUCCGGGUGUAGCGGUGGAAUGCGUAGAGAUCCGGAAGAACACCGGUGGCGAAGGCGGUCUGCUGGGCAGUUGCUGACACUGAGGCGCGACAGCGUGGGGAGCAAACAGG
rnacentral:rRNA from 1 species